CUACGGGUGGCACCAGUGGGGAAUAUUGCACAAUGGGCGCAAGCCUGAUGCAGCCAUGCCGCGUGUAUGAAGAAGGCCUUCGGGUUGUAAAGUACUUUCAGCGGGGAGGAAGGGAGUAAAGUUAAUACCUUUGCUCAUUGACGUUACCCGCAGAAGAAGCACCGGCAACUCCGUGCCAGCAGCCGCGGUAAUACGGAGGGUGCAAGCGUUAAUCGGAAUUACUGGGCGUAAAGCGCACGCAGGCGGUUUGUUAAGUCAGAUGUGAAAGCCCCGGGCUCAACCUGGGAACUGCAUCUGAUACUGGCAAGCUUGAGUAUCGUAGAGGGGGGUAGAAUUCCAGGUGUAGCGGUGAAAUGCGUAGAGAUCUGGAGGAAUACCGGUGGCGAAGGCGGCCCCCUGGACGAAGACUGACGCUCAGGUGCGAAAGCGUGGGGAGCAAACAGGAUUAGAUACCCGAGUAGUC
rnacentral:rRNA from 1 species